GCAUAUCAAUAAGCGGAGGGAAAAGAAACCCACAGGGAUUUCCUCAGUAACGGCGAGUGAAGCGGUAACAGCUCAAAUUUGAAAUCUGGCCUCACGGUCCGAGUUGUAAUUUGUAGAGGAUGCUUCGAGCAUGGUCUGGCCUAAGUUCCUUGGAACAGGACGUCAUAGAGGGUGAGAAUCCCGUAUGCGGCCAGGUGCCUACGCUCAUGUGAAGCUCCUUCGACGAGUCGAGUUGUUUGGGAAUGCAGCUCAAAAUGGGUGGUAAAUUUCAUCUAAAGCUAAAUAUUGGCCAGAGACCGAUAGCGCACAAGUAGAGUGAUCGAAAGAUGAAAAGCACUUUGGAAAGAGAGUUAAACAGUACGUGAAAUUGUUGAAAGGGAAGCGCUUGCAACCAGACUUGCGCGCGGCCGAUCAUCCGGUGUUCUCACCGGUGCACUCGGCCGUGCUCAGGCCAGCAUCGGUUUUGGCGGCUGGAUAAAGGCCCUAGGAAUGUAGCUCCUCUCGGGGAGUGUUAUAGCCUAGGGUGCAAUGCAGCCUGCUGGGACCGAGGACCGCGCUUCGGCUAGGAUGCUGGCGUAAUGGUUGUAAGCGGCCCGUCUUGAAACACGGACCAAGGAGUCUAACAUCUAUGCGAGUGUUUGGGUGUCAAACCCAUACGCGUAAUGAAAGUGAACGGAGGUGAGAACCCUUAAGGGUGCAUCAUCGACCGGUCCUGAAGUUUACGGAAGGAUCUGAGUAAGAGCAUAGCUGUUGGGACCCGAAAGAUGGUGAACUAUGCCUGAAUAGGGUGAAGCCAGAGGAAACUCUGGUGGAGGCUCGCAGCGGUUUUGACGUGCAAAUCGAUCGUCAAAUUUGGGUAUAGGGGCGAAAGACUAAUCGAACCAUCUAGUAGC
rnacentral:rRNA from 1 species